UACAGAGGGUGCAAACGUUGUUCGGAAUUACUGGGCGUAAAGCGCGUGUAGGCGGCUUUGCAAGUCGGGUGUGAAAGCCCUCAGCUUAACUGAGGAAGUGCGCCCGAAACUGCAGAGCUUGAGUACCGGAGAGGAUGGCGGAAUUCCCCAAGUAGAGGUGAAGUUCGUAGAUAUGGGGAGGAACACCGGUGGCGAAGGCGGCCAUCUGGACGGAUACUGACGCUGAGACGCGAAAGCGUGGGUAGCAAACAGG
rnacentral:rRNA from 1 species